CGUGUUUACUGAGCUACGCUGCUACCAAAAAAUAUCGAUCUUAAAUUUUGAAACACUCAUGGUCAAUUGUGGUACAUUUUAGAUAGCGAAGCGGUCACAAAAUUUGCUUUUGCAUCUAUCGACUGAAAUGGAUUUCAUCCCCUUUCCAUGAAAAAAAUCGGCGUGUAUUUAGCUCUCGACGAUGACGGCAGUGAGAAGGGUGUGUGGAACCUACCUCAUGCGGUCCUCCUUGCGCAUGGUCCUGGGCUUAUGUGAUAUGAAGGUGAUGCCGAUUGUUACCUACGGAAGUUAAAUUGUUUGCGAACAUCUUUGAUCGAUAGAACUGGAAAAACUCGAUGAAAUCAAACUUUCGCUUUUAAAGCACGCCAUACACCUAUAUUGUUGUUCAGUGCUAAACAGACGCAAGCUUUCUAUCAGCCGCCGCCAAUUCGGACCCUGACUUUCACUAUACGGGAGCUAUAACUAAUGAAGAAUGGAAAAAGUAGAUGUACGUAUUGAUCGACGUGUGGAUGGUCCAGCCUUGCACUGACGUCUCCAAUAGCCAUCUUCAAAAAUCCGUCGUAGGAAAAAAUCCAGAAUCCAUUUUUGUGGGCAAGCCAAGCAGUUUAAGAAAUGGUGACACCGACCCGUACAAUGAGAAGCUAGGUACCAUUCCAGUCUAAAGAUUUACAUAGCUUAAAGACGAGCCAUUCAAGAAGUCUCCCGUCUCAACUUCAAUCCAAACCAGUGCGGUGCACGAUGCGCGCAGUCUCAUCCGUCAAUUAUAUACAUUCAGAAAAACGAAAGAUAAUGCUCAAUACUCACACCACGAUGGGCCAAUACAGCGACUGCAGACAACGGCAUCUGGAUUGAGCUAGAAAACUGUUCAACAUUGCCCCCUUGCAGCCUGGGGCAACGCCUCGUACUACCUCAUAUCGAUAGCUUUAGGUAAAUCCAUGUAAACUUUAUCAUAUCACAAAACAGGCAGAGAAUCAGGGAGAGCUAGUAAAAUUGUCAAACAAAAAAAUUAAUCAUUGACUGCAUGUCAAUCACUGACGAAACCGGUAGCAACGGGAACUCGACCGCCUCCCGUAGCUCUAAACUUUUAGCAACGUUUAGUACAGAAGCAAACCGUAACAAUAUCGUUACACCUAUAAACUGCAGACAAGAUGAAUUACUUCGUGCAGACCACCAAUCGAAAAUCCCUCCAGUACGUUUUGCAAGAAAAGCCACGCUGAUCAUAAAUCGAUGAAACGUGUGAUGUCCUUAGAUUAACUAACUGAAAAGGAGGGCUCGUUCCUGAUGCCUUCAGGAUCGAGCAUGAAGAAUUUAUUCAUUCCUCAGUUAGAUGCCAUAAUA
rnacentral:lncRNA from 1 species